AAGAGGGAAAAAAAUGCAGCAGUAUCGCGGAAGUCUAAAACCAAGUACCUGAAACUUGGCCAUAUGAAAUUUUCAUUUCCACUUUCUUCCUCGCUUAGGUUUUCGCAGCUCAUCAUUUGAUUUGAUCGUACUUCUUCCUCGCCGUUUCCAGAUCAUAAGCUUUUGCGAUUGCCGAAAUGUGAGCAGUUCACUUCACAGCUGCAGGAAAUGGAAGCAGCUGUAGUGGAUGGAAAUGGAACUAAAACAGGUCACAUCAUUGUGACAACUAUUGGGGGAAAGAAUGGUCAGCCUAAUUACAUGGCAGUGCGAGUUGUUGGACAGGCUUCCUUUGGAAUUGUGUUCCAGGCCAAAUGCCUUGAAUCAGGAGAAACUGUGGCAAUAAAAAAGGUAAACCCCCACACACAUCAGCUUAAGCUCAUCGAUUUUGGAAGUGCAAAAGUCCUGCCUCUCUUUCCUGGUGAGAUUGGUGUUGAUCAACUUGUUGAAAUAAUCAAGGUUCUUGGAACACCAACACGUGAGGAAAUCAAGUGCAUGAAUCCAAAUUACACAGAGUUCAAGUUCCCUCAAAUCAAAGCUCACCCCUGGCGCAAAGGAAGAAUUCUGAUCUAUAUUCCUAAAUAGAAUAUAAAUUUCUAAUGCAUUGCAUCACAUCUAAAAACUCAUGGCCGCAAUCUUGCGUUGCAUAGAUUUUUCAUAAUCGGAUGCCUCCUGAAGCUGUGGAUCUUGUAUCAAGGCUUCUCCAGUAUUCUCCAAAUCUGAGGUGCACUUCGGUACAAUGGCGCCAUCCAAGAAACGAAAAACCACAGGCGCCUCCACAAGUGGUCAAGCGGGCACCUCCCGGUCACGAGCUUCGGCAUUUGCUCGCCCGUAUGAUCUAAACAAGUUCGUCUCCUGGGAAGCCCAGGAACGAUUCCAACACAAGGCAAGCAAGAAGCCCAUACCGAAGAAGGGAAUUGAUAUUGGGUCUCUGUAGACUGACUGUCCUAGAGUGUAUAAUGAAUUGGUCAGGCGAGGCUUGGGGGUAUUCUUUGAAGAACCUGAUGAGACAAACUUAAUGGUUGUUUGGGAGUAUUAUGCAAUUUUCCCGGACCAUGACAACCAUGUCUGCACAGUCCGGAGAAAGAGAGUAGACUUCUCCAAAGAGGCCAUCCGAAGGGCCUAUCAUUUUUCGGAGUAUGUGGAAGACCCUAAUACAGGUGACUACUACGCCACGCACCGCGGAGAACCAUACCUGUGGCGCCUGCUCUUUGCAACCAUUUGUGUACCUGGGAAGGAGGUAGUAUGGAUAAAGGAAGGGCACAAGUUUCACUCGACUUCGCUUACCUUUGAAGGAAAAUGCUGAUUGUACCUCAUUAAUAACUGCAUGUUGCCUUCAGGCAACACCACUGAGGUGAAUGGUCCCCGGGCUGCUAUGAUUUGGUGUUUCGUCAAUGGACACGAUUUUGAUGUGGCUCAGGUAAUUCAAGACGAGAUGACCACUCGGUGUCCUGUGCAGAAGUAUGGGUUCUUCUUCCCUCAUUAGUAACUCGGUUAUGUAGUGAGGCACGGGUGAUGGAAAACAGGGCCAUGGAUGGGAAGGUCAAGCGCGAACAAACAAUCUAGGCUAAUAAAGUUAUAAUUAGGAAGGAACCUGCUGGACCUGCUGAGGCAGAUAGUGAGAAAUCUGAUGCGCCUGACGAGGGUAAUGAGGGGCACGGUGAGGCUGUUGUUGCUUCUCAACCGCAUGAGCCGGGUGUUGGGGAAACUUCACGUUGUGGAUGUGACACGAGAAUGAGCGCUUUAGAGUAGGAGAUGGCGGGGAUGCAUACUUCCGUCACUGAUUUGGGUACUUGAGUGGACGCCUUGGCCAUACAAAAUGCCAAAUCCGAGAAGAAGAUCAUGGCAUAGCUACGUGCACUUGGCAGGGCUUGUAAUCUAGACCCCGGAACCGUCUCCGACACGGACUGACUUGAUCAGGGGAGUUUUCUUCACCUUUGCAUUUUUCUUUGUGUGUCAUGGGGACAUUCCACCAUUUAAAGUGUGGGGUGGGGAAUAUUUGUAUGUUGUAUGUAUAUGAGUUUUGUUUCUGGUAGUUAUAGUUUGUUGUGUUAGUUGCAGUAGUUAGUAAUAGAUGAAAAAACAAAAAUACAUAAAAAAUUUAAAAUAUUCGAUUUCUCCCGACGAUGGAUACCAUUCGACGGAUUUAUUGAGGGAUUAAAGUCGAAAGAAAAAGACAAAAAUAUUCUCUUGUUAGGUAGUGUAUUAAUUCUCCCUUGGUUUUUCUUUAUGCUGCGGUUCUUUUCCAAGGGUUUUGAUUGAACCGGGUGUAGUUAGUUUUAUUUUUUUUCUGUUAGGAGUAGGUACCCUUAGCUCUGAUCUGAAAGGAAAGCAACAUCUUUGGACUAUGUUAUGCCUUGAGAAUAGUGAGUGCUCUAGCUGUGACGCUUAAGCUCAGUUUUUUACUCUCGUAGAAGUACCUUAAAUUAUAUGUUCUUGACUUUGCUUAACUGUUUUGACUGGAGUGUCUUGAUGAGUCCGAUCUUGAGUGAACAUGUGCCGUGUGUGGGUGAGGUUUUGUAUUAUUCUGUGCAUUGCAUUUGAUGUCUAGAACUUGCCCUGUGUGUUUGAAAAGCAAAAUAGUAGUUAUUCUGUCUUG